ensembl:lncRNA
CUGAUCCAAAAUCCUCAAAGCUUCAUAGAACUGAAACAAACAUUUAUUUUUAGCUCCAUUCUGCUGCUGAUACAGACUUUAGGUUUCUGAACAUUACACUUGUUGCUGCCUUUCAUAGUGUGUAACUUGAAGGCCCUGAGUACUUUCUCCCACACUGAAAACACUGGGAUGAUCACAUUAUUUGAACAUUACCUAAUAAGACUGAUUCAGGACAGACAAUUAGUUAUGUUAAACUUUCCUAGCAGUCCUUCACAAACAGGGAACAGUCUGUCUAUUCUCUCCAUCUGUCAGCUGCUGCUGGCUCUUCCUCCUCCUCUUCCUCACACACUGCUGAGUUUGUCCUGGUGGAUCAUCAGGGCUGCAAAGCCUCAUAGAUGAUAUGCAGCAGUGGGUCCCUCAGUCUGUCCUCACUCUGGACACUUGCAGUCGUCACACAUGGAAAUCAAAUGUGUGAUAAGCUGCAGGAUUCAAACACAAGUGUAACUUAUAAACACAUGUUCAUACUUUUAUUCCACAAUCAGAAAGAAACAGAGAGAGAGUGCAGGACAGACAGACAGGUGACAGUCUCAGGUGUACACACUGCUACAAACAGGAGGAUUUAGUGUUUGUGUUAUUACGAGUGCUAAACAAGAAGAGUUCCAGAUGGUGCAGUGGACACAUGUGUGACUGCUGUGAUUAAAGCAUCUUUCUUUCAGCUUAACGAGUGAACCGUCAGCUCGUUCAAACACACGUUAAAGUCCGUUUGGCUCGACACCACCGAACAGAGGCAGCAAUAUAACAUAGCUAACAUUAACAGUGCAGUGAAUCCUGCUGGUGCCGUGAUAUUCAGGACUGCAAACCGAGCAGCAUCACUGACUUUCAGCUUGUUGUGUUUGUGGAUAUAUGACUGACUUUAAUUAUCCAUAAAAUCAUCAGAUUCUCUGUAAGAUUAAGGUCGACUAUCGAACGGCGUAUAAAGGCUUUAAAACAAAGUAAACGCUGAAAGUUCAAACAUCGCUAAUGUCACAUAACUUUGCCGGCAUGUGGCCAACAGUAAUGUUUUAAUGUUUCUCAUUAUUAAACAUUUGCACAUAAAUAAGUGACAUAACAUUCAGUACUUACUUUUGAAAGUUUACUCUUUGGCUGCUCCGCUUCCACUUCUUUGAAGUGUCUCCCAGUCCCAGUGCACUUGUUAGCAUGUUUUGGUUCAUGCAACUGGUCCGUCCGCUUAUUGUCUCCCCAGAAACAUUUCCGUUGUGUUGUGUGUGCUUUUGCAGCGUUUUUCUUUUUGCAGCGUUUUUCUUUUUGCAGCAUUUUUCUUUUUGCAGCGUUUUUCUUUUUUGCAGCGUUUUUCUUUUUGCAGCAUUUUUCUUUUUGCAGCGUUUUUCUUUUCGCAGCAUUUUUCUUUUUGCAGCAUUUUUCUUUUUGCAGCAUUUUUCUUUUUGCAGGUGUUUUUCUUUUUGCAGCGUUUUUCUUUUUGCAGCGUUUUUCUUUUCGCAGCGUUUUUCUUUUCGCAGCAUUUUUCUUUUUGCAGCGUUUUUCUUUUUGCAGCGUUUUUCUUUUUGCAGCAUUUUUCUUUUUGCAGCGUUUUUCUUUUUGCAGCGUUUUUCUUUUUGCAGCAUUUUUCUUUUUGCAGCAUUUUUCUUUUUGCAGCGUUUUUCUUUUUGCAGCGUUUUUCUUUUUGCAGCGUUUUUCUUUUUGCAGCAUUUUUCUUUUUGCAGCAUUUUUCUUUUCGCAGCGUUUUUCUUUUUGCAGCGUUUUUCUUUUUGCAGGUGUUUUUCUUUUUGCAGCGUUUUUCUUUUUGCAGCAUUUUUCUUUUUGCAGCAUUUUUCUUUUUGCAGCGUUUUUCUUUUCGCAGCAUUUUUCUUUUUGCAGCAUUUUUUCUUUUUGCAGCAUUUUUCUUUUCGCAGCGUUUUUCUUUUUGCAGCGUUUUUCUUUUUGCAGCGUUUUUCUUUUUGCAGCAUUUUUCUUUUUGCAGCAUUUUUCUUUUUGCAAGUGUUUUCUGAAGUUGCAGUCCGUUUGGCCUCUCAGGGCCACCGUAAAAAAAAAAAGGCUUUAGGAUAUAAGGUUUCCUGGAAUAAUCUACAAAUUGAGCUAAAAUUGUCAGAAACGAGAGAACAGCUCUUUUGGUCAGUGUUCUUGUUUUGGUCAUUUAUUGCACACAACUCAUACAUUUGUGUUCACUGGUCUGUACAGAAUAUAGUAUUUAAACAUUCUGAAUGAAUAUUGGUUCUUUACUUGUUAUAUUAUUAGUGGUAUUUGUUGUAACAUCUUCUGCCCCCUGCUGGUCUCUCUUGGAAAUAUGAGAAACGAGUCUUUUGUCUGGAUUAACUGCAAAUAAUGAAAGAACAGCUUGUCCACAUGCAGCCUCUGUGUCAGAUCAAUGCAGUGAAGCACACACACUGUUUAGUAAAGUCAUGUUGUGGAGCUGUUUCACUGAUCAGUGACUGAGUCUGAAGAAGGUUUUCUGACUUCUGGAACAAACCUGGAAGUUUCUCUUCAGCUCUCUGUAUCAGCUGUGUGUAACUCUCAACUCUUUCAGCUUCUGGAGCAAGUUUGUGUGAGCUCUACUUGUGUAUAGUACGGGACACUCACCUGAUUUAUAAUAUUGACGGAAAUAACAUAUGAGACUUCCAGAAACCAAAAGAAAAAUCAGCAGAAUCAGGAGAGCUUUGGCCCAGGAUGGAAACCGUUCUGUGAAGUUCAGAAAAACAUGACCUUUGACCUCUGACUGAAUGUGGUGAUAUAUUUUAUUGAACAUACCUCAAGCUAAUAUUUUUUGAGUGAACAUAUUUAUGCAGCAAUAAAAUAGUAAAGUUUUAUCUGAGUGAUGUCAGAUUUGUCUACAGCAGGUGUUUGUUGUUGACCUUUGACCUGCAGCUGUACAUCACUCCGACUCAGCUCAUCUCCAAAGUCUCUGACGGAGCAGGUGUAGGUGGCGCUGUCAGACAGUUGGAGGUUGGUUAGGUUCAGGCUGAGGUCUCCAGUUUCCAGAGCGUCAGCCUUCAUGGAUGUUCGGCCGCUGUAACGCUGGUUUUGAUCUUUCAGUUCGUCUCCUUGAAGCUGACGCUGGUGGACGGUUGGAGGACUGAGGUCGGAGCGACUCCACACCACUGUGGAUUUAGUCAGAUUAAAAGUGUCGACGUGACAGGGCAGGAUGAACGUGUCCCCCUCAUGCAGCUCCACAGCUGAGGCAUGCUGGGAAACUGGGGACACACAGAAAGAGACUCCAUGAGUCACUUUAAGGUGAAGAUCAAGUUUAGACACAUUUACAGAAACCAGGAGACAGAACGACAGAAACAUUCAACAUUUUAACAACUCAUUAAAAAGAACACAGCGCAGAUCAGAGGCAGGAAGUCCAUCACAUAAAAAUGUCAAACUAAGUCCAA